UACGAAGGGGGCUAGCGUUGCUCGGAAUCACUGGGCGUAAAGCGCAUGUAGGCGGCCUCUUAAGUCAGGGGUGAAAUCCUGGAGCUCAACUCCAGAACUGCCUUUGAUACUGGGAGCCUUGAGUUCGGGAGAGGUGAGUGGAACUGCGAGUGUAGAGGUGAAAUUCGUAGAUAUUCGCAAGAACACCAGUGGCGAAGGCGGCUCGCUGGCCCGAUACUGACGCUGAGGUGCGAAAGCGUGGGGAGCAAACAGG
rnacentral:rRNA from 1 species